rnacentral:rRNA from 1 species
GCCGCGGUAUUUUGACCGUGCGAAGGUAGCAUAAUCAUUAGUCUUUUAAUUGAAGGCUUGUAUGAAGGGUUGGACGAGAAAUAAGCUGUCUUUAUUGGAAAAAUAGAAUUUAACUUUUAAGUGAGAGGGCUUAAAUGUUCUAAAGGGACGAUAAGACCCUAUAAAGUUUGACAUUUUAUUCAUUAAAAAAUAAAAUAAUUAAUUAAUUUUUAUUAGUGGAGUAGUGUUUUGUUGGGGCGAUUAGAAUAUAAAAAAUUUAACUGUUUUAUAUUAAUACAAAGUUGUUUGAGUGUCUUGAUCCUUAAUAAAGGUGUUAGAGUAAAUUACUUUAGGGAUAACAGCGUAAUUUUUUUUGAGAGUUCUUAUCGACAAAAAAGUUUGCGACCUCGAUGUUGAAUUAAAGAAUUCUUUAUAGCGCAGAAGUUAUAAAAGAAGGUCUGUUCGACCUUUAAAUCUUUACAU